rnacentral:rRNA from 1 species
UACGUAGGGUGCGAGCGUUAAUCGGAAUUACUGGGCGUAAAGCGCACGUAGGUGGCGACGUAAGUCGGGUGUGAAAGCCCCGGGCUCAACCUGGGAAUUGCAUUCGAGACUGCAUUGCUGGAGUACGGAAGAGGAAGGCGGAAUUCCCGGUGUAGCGGUGAAAUGCGUAGAGAUCGGCAGGAACACCCAGGGGGAAACCAGUCGACUGGGCAGCACCUGACGCUGAGGUGCGAGAGCGUGGGGAGCGAACCGG